rnacentral:rRNA from 1 species
CUGCAUGGCUGCGUCAGCUCGUGUCGUGAGAUGUUGGGUUAAGUCCCGUAACGAGCGCAACCCUUGUCCUUAGUUACCAGCAUGUUAUGGUGGGCACUCUAAGGAGACUGCCGGUGACAACCGGAGGAAGGUGGGGAUGACGUCAAGUCAUCAUGGCCCUUACGGCCUGGGCUACACACGUGCUACAAUGGUCGGUACAAAGGGUUGCCAAGCCGCGAGGUGGAGCUAAUCCCAUAAAACCGAUCGUAGUCCGGAUCGCAGUCUGCAACUCGACUGCGUGAAGUCGGAAUCGCUAGUAAUCGUGAAUCAGAAUGUCACGGUGAAUACGUUCCCGGGCCUA